rnacentral:rRNA from 1 species
AACGAACGCUGGCGGCAGGCUUAACACAUGCAAGUCGAGCGCCCCGCAAGGGGAGCGGCAGACGGGUGAGUAACGCGUGGGAAUCUACCCAUCUCUACGGAAUAACGCAUGGAAACGUGUGCUAAUACCGUAUACGUCCUUCGGGAGAAAGAUUUAUCGGAGAUGGAUGAGCCCGCGGUGGAUUAGCUAGUUGGUGGGGUAAAGGCCUACCAAGGCGACGAUCCAUAGCUGGUCUGAGAGGAUGAUCAGCCACACUGGGACUGAGACACGGCCCAGACUCCACCGGGAGGCAGCCGUGGGGAAUAUUGGAGACUGGGCGCAAACCGGGUCCAGCCAUGGCGCGUGAGUGAUGAAGGCCCUGGGGUUGUAAAGCUCUUUCACCAGUGAAGAUAAUGACGGUAACCGGAGAACAAGCCCCGGCUAACUUCGUGCCAACAGCCGCCGCGGUAA